CAUUUAAGACAGAUUACUUCGGUUUGAAGUCUUUUAUGACUGAGUGGCGGACGGGUGAGUAACGCGUGGGUAACCUGCCUCAUACAGGGGGAUAGCAGCUGGAAACGGCUGGUAAUACCGCAUAAGCGCACAGUACCACAUGGUACAGUGUGAAAAACUCCGGUGGUAUGAGAUGGACCCGCGUCUGAUUAGCUUGUUGGCGGGGUAACGGCCCACCAAGGCGACGAUCAGUAGCCGACCUGAGAGGGUGACCGGCCACAUUGGGACUGAGACACGGCCCAGACUCCUACGGGAGGCAGCAGUGGGGAAUAUUGCACAAUGGAGGAAACUCUGAUGCAGCGACGCCGCGUGAGUGAAGAAGUAGUUCGCUAUGUAAAGCUCUAUCAGCAGGGAAGAUAGUGACGGUACCUGACUAAGAAGCUCCGGCUAAAUACGUGCCAGCAGCCGCGGUAAUACGUAUGGAGCAAGCGUUAUCCGGAUUUACUGGGUGUAAAGGGAGUGUAGGUGGCCAGGCAAGUCAGAAGUGAAAGCCCGGGGCUCAACCCCGGGACUGCUUUUGAAACUGCAGGGCUAGAGUGCAGGAGGGGCAAGUGGAAUUCCUAGUGUAGCGGUGAAAUGCGUAGAUAUUAGGAGGAACACCAGUGGCGAAGGCGGCUUGCUGGACUGUAACUGACACUGAGGCUCGAAAGCGUGGGGAGCAAACAGG
rnacentral:rRNA from 1 species